rnacentral:rRNA from 1 species
GAUGAACGCUGGCGGCGUGCUUAACACAUGCAAGUCGAACGAUGAAGCCCAGCUUGUUGGGUGGUUUAGUGGCGAACGGGUGAGUAACACGUGAGUAACUUGCCCUUAACUCUGGGAUAAGCCUGGGAAACUGGGCCUAAUACCGGCUAGGAGCGCCUAUCGCAUGGAGGGUGUUGGAAAGAUUUAUCGGUUUUGGAUGGACUCGCGGCUUAUCCGCUUGUUGGUGAGGUAAUGGCUGACCAAGGCGACGACGGGUAGCCGGCCUGAGAGGGUGAACGGCCACACUGGGACUGAGACACGGACCAGACUCCUACGGGAGGCAGCAGUGGAGAGUAUUACACAAUGGGCGAAAGCCUGAUGCAGCGGCGCCGCGUGAGGGAUGACGGCCUUCGGGUUAUAAACCUAUUUCAGUAGGAAAGAAGCGAAAGUGACGGUACCUGCAGAGGAAGCACCGGCUAACUACGUG